ACCACACUCAACACAAAAGAGGACCCAAACCCUUCUUCACCCCUUGGAAUAAAGAUAGAGAUAUCGCAUCUAUUCAUUUCCUGAGAAUAUGAAAUGAAGAUUGCCAUCUUCACCUCUUGUUCUUUUGAAGGACUACAUCCUUUGUUACUGCAAAGCUACCAACCUCCACUCUACUGCUUCUGUCCAUGAUGACUUCUAGCAUUCUCCACCUCUUUGCUGACUUACACUCUGAAAUCUGACUACCAGGACACCUCCAAAUCCCUCACUACUCUAUCCCC
rnacentral:lncRNA from 1 species